CACUGCGCGUUUGGUGUUGCUAUCUGAACCAGUCAGAAUGAAGGGCGCCUAAAUGGAGCGCGAGAACAGAACUUAUGCCUCUGUAAAUCCAAGUUCACACACGCUGUCUGUUAAUGCGUAUUUUUUCCGAGCCCAUGUUAAUGGAUCAGAGCGUUCACACUGCACACGGUAAAAGAUGUGAACAGAAAGGGUUAGAAAUAGAAAGGUGCGAAAAGAAUGAAUAUCUAGCGCCUGAGCAUAGAGAGAGUUGUGAGUUCACAAGACACAGUUUGAGCGAGAGGAGACGCGUUUUAACUGCGCGCAUUUUCUCCGGGCUAGAGCAUGUAUCUGAGCACGCGUGUCUGGUUUUGUGACAAAGCAGAGGAAAUCUGCGUGCGAGCGGAUAGAUUCGCGCUCGCGCAUUAUUU
ensembl:lncRNA